AUCAGAUCCCACAAGUUUAAGGGCUCAGCUCCACAAGACUACCCCCUUCACAUGCCAGCAGCAAAUAUGGGGCCCAAGUUACCCACAUUUCUGCCCAGCUGACUACAACUUCUGGUUUCCAUGACCCCCUCUCAGGUUUGAUAGUUUGCUAGAACAACUCACAAAGUGAAGGAAAAUGGUGUACUUACUAUUACUGGCUUAUUAUAAAAGCUACAACUCAGAAACAGCCAAAAGGAGGAGAUGCACAGAGCAAGGUGACCAGUCCGCAUCCUGAUACUGUCUCGGAGUCCCCCAGCCAAGAAUCAUCUCAUCAGCAUAAACUCAGGCAAUGCUGAAAGGCAUUCAGAAUGGUACUGGCCAUGUAACAUCCUCAGGAAAAUGGAGAAAGGAGUUUUUGGAGACUGCUAUGUAAGCCAGAAUACUAGUCACACAGUGCAGGUGGGAGCGGCGGGGAAGUAACCUCCUUUUUUUUUAGACUAAUACAUUUAUGGUAUACAUCUGAA